rnacentral:rRNA from 1 species
GUGGGGAAUAUUGGACAAUGGGCGCAAGCCUGAUCCAGCCAUGCCGCGUGUGUGAAGAAGGCCUUUUGGUUGUAAAGCACUUUAAGCGAGGAGGAGGCUCCUUUAGUUAAUACCUAAAGUGAGUGGACGUUACUCGCAGAAUAAGCACCGGCUAACUCUGUGCCAGCAGCCGCGGUAAUACAGAGGGUGCGAGCGUUAAUCGGAUUUACUGGGCGUAAAGCGUGCGUAGGCGGCUUUUUAAGUCGGAUGUGAAAUCCCUGAGCUUAACUUAGGAAUUGCAUUCGAUACUGGAAAGCUAGAGUAUGGGAGAGGAUGGUAGAAUUCCAGGUGUAGCGGUGAAAUGCGUAGAGAUCUGGAGGAAUACCGAUGGCGAAGGCAGCCAUCUGGCCUAAUACUGACGCUGAGGUACGAAAGCAUGGGGAGCAAACAGGAUUAGAUACCCUGGUAGUCC